rnacentral:tRNA from 1 species
GGAUCGUUAGCUCAGCCGGUAGAGCAUCUGACUUUUAAUCAGUUGGUCGAGGGUUCGAGCCCCUCACGAUCCACCA